rnacentral:rRNA from 1 species
GACGAACGCUGGCGGCGUGCCUAAUACAUGCAAGUUGAGCGCUGAAGGUUGGUCCUUGUACCAACUGGAUGAGCAGCGAACGGGUGAGUAACGCGUGGGGAAUCUGCCUUUGAGCGGGGGACAACAUUUGGAAACGAAUGCUAAUACCGCAUAAAAACUUUAAACACAAGUUUUAAGUUUGAAAGAUGCAAUUGCACCACUCAAAGAUGAUCCCGCGUUGUAUUAGCUAGUUGGUGAGGUAAAGGCUCACCAAGGCGAUGAUACAUAGCCGACCUGAGAGGGUGAUCGGCCACAUUGGGACUGAGACACGGCCCAAACUCCUACGGGAGGCAGCAGUAGGGAAUCUUCGGCAAUGGACGAAAGUCUGACCGAGCAACGCCGCGUGAGUGAAGAAGGUUUUCGGAUCGUAAAACUCUGUUGGUAGAGAAGAACGUUGGUGAGAGUGGAAAGCUCAUCAAGUGACGGUAACUACCCAGAAAGGGACGGCUAACUACGUG